GAGUUUGAUCGUGGCUCAGGAUGAACGCUGGCGGCGUGCCUAACACAUGCAAGUCGAACGAAGCGCCUGGCCCCGACUUCUUCGGAACGAGGAGCCUUGCGACUGAGUGGCGGACGGGUGAGUAACGCGUGGGCAACCUGCCUUGCACUGGGGGAUAACAGCCAGAAAUGGCUGCUAAUACCGCAUAAGACCGAAGCGCCGCAUGGCGCGGCGGCCAAAGCCCCGGCGGUGCAAGAUGGGCCCCGCGUCUGAUUAGGUAGUUGGCGGGGUAACGGCCCACCAAGCCGACGAUCAGUAGCCGACCUGAGAGGGUGACCGGCCACAUUGGGACUGAGACACGGCCCAGACU
rnacentral:rRNA from 1 species